rnacentral:lncRNA from 1 species
AACUUAGGUAGAUACCCAGUUGUGGGAUUGUUGUAUUGAAUGAUAGUUCUAUAUUUAGCUCUUUGAGAAGUGUCCAUACUGUCUCCUAUAGAGGUUAUACUAAUUUCUGUUAUCACCAACAGUGUAUAUGCAUUCCCUUUUCUCCACAUCCUCACCAACAGCUGUUGUUUUUUGACUUUUUAAUAAUAGUCAUUCUGAUUGGUGUGAAAUGGUAUCUUGUGUGGUUUUAAUUUGCAUUUAUCUGAUAAUUAAUGAUGUUCAGCAUUUUUUUAUGUUUGUUGGCUGCUUGUGUGUCUUCUUUUCAAAAAUGUCUUUUCCAUUGUCUUUUGCCCACUUUUUAAUGGGGUUGUUGUUUAACUUUCUUUUAAUGAUUUAUAAGUAUUUUAAAUAUGUGUAGGAUGCUUAUUCCUUUGUCAUAUGUGUUGCAAAUUUUGUUUGCCUGUUGGCUUUUAGUCAUCUUUGGAGAAUUUGGGGGAAAUUUUUCAAUUCUUAUUAAUCAAAUCAAUCUGUUUUUUUCUUUUUUUUCCCCACCUGCCUUUUUCUGUAUGCUUAGAAUAGCUUCCUCAGCCUAAGAUUAAACAUUUACUUGUGUCUUCUCCUGGUGCUUGUUUGGUUUUACUUUUUACAAUUAACAUCUGCAGUGUAUUUUAGUGUAAGAAGUGAGGUCGGGGUCCUGACUCUUUUUCUCAACUAACCAGAUGAUCUGGAACCUUACGAUACGUAGUAGGACUCUUCGCCUCUCUUAUCUGCAGUCCACCUUUAAGAUACACUGAAUCACUAUCUGUUCUGGCUUCUCGCUAGUCUCUCUGUUAUGCCAUAUUGAAAGUCUGUUUACUUGCAUGCCAGUGUGAUACCAUGUAAUUAUUGUGGCUGUGCAUUUUAAGACUACUUUUUGCCAUACCACUUCUUCAAAUUAGUAUUCUUUUUCAAAAUAAUCUUGGUUAUUCAUAAACAUUAAUUCUUCCACAUGGACUUUAGAAUUGUUUACUCACGUUCUCUCAAGUUCUUACUAGUUUUAUAAAAUUGGAAUUAUAGCGGAUUUAUAGAUGAAGAAAAGAACUGACACCUUUAUAAUAUUGAGUCAUCUUGUUGAAGAACAAGGGUUGUCCUUGGCUAUCUUGAUGACCCAAGUGAGGACAUUCAGGAUCCAGUGAGUGACAAAUUCUUCAAGGAGGUGUGGGUUUCAACAGCAGCUCGAAAUGCUACAAUUUAUGACAAGGUUUUCCGGUGCCUUCCCAAUGAUGAAGUACACAAUUUAAUUCAGCUGAGAGACUUUAUAAACAAGCCCGUAUUAGCUAAGGAAGAUCCCAUUCGAGCUGAGGAGGAACUGAAGAAGAUCCGUGGAUUUUUGGUGCAAUUCCCCUUUUAUUUCUUGUCUGAAGAAAGCCUACUGCCUUCUGUUGGGACCAAAGAGGCCAUAGUGCCCAUGGAGGUUUGGACUUAAGAGAUAUUCAUUGGCAGCUCAAAGACUUCCACCCUGGAGACCACACUGCACACAGUGACUUCCUGGGGAUGUCAUAGCCAAAGCCAGGCCUGACGCAUUCUCGUAUCCAACCCAAGGACCUUUUGGAAUGACUGGGGAGGGCUGCAGUCACAUUGAUGUAAGGACUGUAAACAUCAGCAAGACUUUAUAAUUCCUUCUGCCUAACUUGUAAAAAGGGGGCUGCAUUCUUGUUGGUAGCAUGUACUCUGUUGAGUAAAACACAUAUUCAAAUUCCGUAUACCAAAAUCCAUUUCCUUUGUAACAAGAAUUUACCAGUAACUGUGAUCUAGGUUGCCAAAAGUUGUCUGAAUCUCCUUAUUCUUCUCUGAUCUUCAUUUAUGCAGCCAAUGUCUAGCUGGACCUGCCCUCAUCUUGCAGUUCAUACAGGCACUGUUUGAGAGAUUGUUUAUUAUUAGAUGUUGUAAUGCUGCUUCAAGAUUCUUCAUGGUUACAUGGGAUGCCCCUGCUCAUCUGGUCCUGAAGUAGUAACAUUCACCCAAAUGAGGAUAUAGUCAUUAUUCCUUUUCAGUCACUGUACGAACACGGCAGACUUUAGCCUACACAGUAGACUGUGUUAGGCACUUCUGGUAACAUUGACACUGUAUCUUGACACCACUAAGCAACAGGAAGGAAUAAAUUCCAAUAUUGAGACAGAGAUUUAUUUCAUUUUGCUCCCAAAGGCACUGACAACAUGAGUCCUUGUGAUUAGGCCCACCUGAUCAAAUGUAAAAACAUGCAUGGGAUAUUUGAUUACGUAACAACCAGCUAAAACUGAGAGCACACAGCCUUCGGAAACCCCCAAGGUGUCGAGGAGGAUCAGAUCCAGAUAAGAGAAGAUGAUUCCUUCUAGUCCUGUAAAAUUUCCUGUCAUCCUUAGCUGCUGGGUUGAUUGAAAUUUGAUCUCUACAUUUCAAAAUCAAACUAGUGAAUACAGUUUGUCUUUCAAGAGAAUCAGAGGCAUCGUAACUCCUACCAAGUUAGUAAGUAUGAGUCUAACCUUGUUUGACAUUCAGGUCUUCUGCUACAUUAUCUUCUUUGAGAAAAAUUAAUUGAUUAUAAAAUAUGUGCUACUUCACUUACAUUAUUAAAUAUGUAUUAACGCCUCUCACCAGGGCUUCCAGUGAAGUUACAAUGCCCUAGUCUGUGAAUUAGUCUGGAAACGUGUUUUUCCUUUUCGGAUGUUAGAGUACCCUUUGAUAAACUAAAUUUUACUAAGCUGAACAACUCUGACAGUCUAAAGAGCUAAUGUGGGUUACCAAAAGGCCUGUACCUGUAAAACAAAAUGCAGGUGUAAUGAUUAUACAUGUCUAUGGAUUACCUGGACAUACUCUCAUUUGGGUUGUUCUUCAAAGAAGCAAGCAGCCGAUCCCUGUUUUCAUAAAGCUAAUACUUCAGUUGGAAAAAUUAAACAGGAGCACAAAGUCAGGGAUAGGGGUUAGCAGAAGAGAGAAAUAGUGUCACAUCAAGGGCAGGAUCUCAUAGCUAGGGAACAUUUCACAAAUAAGGUGAGAUUUUGUAACCAAUAAUAAAAAUGAAUGUUUUUAUAAGUAAAUAACUUAUUUUUCAUAUGGCUAAAGAUGGUAAAAUGACUUCAUUCUAUAGCCAUUGUAAAUAAGAAUUUGCUAUUGAUGAAAGAAGUUCAGAUUGGCAUUUGAAGUAUUGAGUGUAUGGGAUCUCUAAGGAUUUCUUAGAUUUUAUAUUUAAAUAUUUUUUAAACCUUAGAGGAGUCAACAAACUGGCUCUUGAUUUUCAGCACCCUACUCUCAUGAAAAAAGCCUGAAAGGACCCUUUCCCUUAUAAGUAAUUUAAUCCAAUUUCUCCCCAUUUUAUAGAUGAGGAAACUGAGGCUCAGAUCAGAUGAGAACUCACUUAAAUCCACUCAAUGUGUAGAUGGUAGAGCUGGGACUAGCAACAUUGCUGCAGCCCAUUGUUGGCCUCUCUCUUCACUUUAUCAUUGCCCAAGAAUGAGGAUAUGCAGUAAACAGAAUUCAGGCAAGAUACCUCUAAGCUGUUUUGAACCCUCUGAUAUUUUGUAUUUAUGUGUUUGUCUGUCUCCCCCUACUAGAAUGUAAGCUCCAUGGGGCAGGGACUUCACUGUAUUUUGUUCAUAGUGUAUCCCCAGAGCCUGGACCAGUGCUUGGCACAUAGGAGAUGGCAAUAAAUGCUUGUAGAAUUAAUAAACAAGGUGAAGGAGAGAGCUAAUGAAAUGAAAA